CAUAUGUUUUGAAAUAGUUUGAACUAUGGUGAUGAGUAAUAAAUUGUAUAGAGUGGGAAGGAAAGUCUACACAUAUGUUGUGAGAUAGUUUGAACUAUGGUGAUGAGUAAUAAAUUGUAUAGAUCGAUACAAUUGUGGCUUUAGAGUAGCGUAGUGGAAGCGUGAUAAUUGGUUCAGUUUGUGAUGAAUUCAGAGGACUGAAUUCUUAUAUGUGGGGGAGAUUGUAAUACCCGGAAAAAAAAAAAGGAUUUAAAAGGAAGGGUAUUUAAGUAAAUUUGUUUAUGGGGUCAAUUGUUAUAAUUAACAUUGCUAAGGGGUUUUUUAGAAAAUAAGGUUGAAACCCUAGCUAUAAAUAUAAGUUUAUUAAGUCAAUGUAUAUGGAGAGAUAUUUUGAGAGAGGAGACUACCCAGAAGACUGAAGUAGAGAAUGAUUGACAAUGCCUUUGAGGUGAUGAUAUUUAAGGAUUUUUAGAGGAAGUGUUAGGGUGAAGUUUCUUUUGGUAUGGCUUUUGGAGAUUAUGAAGAAUAAUAAGUUUUAGGAGUUCUGAUGUUGUGAAGUGAGCGGGAAAAGAAGUUUAGUGAUUUUGGGAUUGAAUGG